AUUGAACGCUGGCGGCAGGCUUAACACAUGCAAGUCGGACGAGGGGCGGACGGGUGAGUAAUGAUUGGGAAUCUGGCUGAUGGAGGGGGAUAACUACGGGAAACUGUAGCUAAUACCGCAUACCAUCGGAUGAGCCCAAGUGGGAUUAGGUAGUUGGUGAGGUAAAGGCUCACCAAGCCGACGAUCUCUAGCUGGGCUGAGAGGAUGAACAGCCACACUGGGACUGAGACACGGCCCAGACGCCGACGGGAGGCAGCAGUGGGGAAUAUUGCACAAUGGGCGCAAGCCUGAUGCAGCCAUGCCGCGUGAAUGAAGAAGGCCUUCGGGUUGUAAAGUUCUUUCAGUCGGGAGGCGUUAACUACAGAAGAAGCACCGGCUAACUCCGUGCCAGCAGCCGCGGUAAUAC
rnacentral:rRNA from 1 species